rnacentral:rRNA from 1 species
AGCGAACGCUGGCGGCAGGCUUAACACAUGCAAGUCGAGCGGGCAUCCUUGUGGUGUCAGCGGCAGACGGGUGAGUAACGCGUGGGAACGUGCCCUUCGGUUCGGAAUAACUCAGGGAAACUUGAGCUAAUACCGGAUACGUGCGAGAGCAGAAAGGUUUAUCUGCCGAAGGAUCGGCCCGCGUCUGAUUAGCUAGUUGGUGAGGUUAUGGCUCACCAAGGGGACGAUCAGUAGCUGGUCUGCGAGGAUGAUCAGCCACACUGGGACUGAGACACGGACCAGACUCCUACGGGAGGCAGCAGUGGGGAAUAUUGGACGAUGGGGGCAACCCUGAUCCAGCCAUGCCGCGUGAGUGAUGACGGCCUUAGGGUUGUAAAGCUCUUUUUUCCGAGACGAUAAUGACGGUACCGGAGGAAUAAGCCCCGGCUAACUUCGUG